rnacentral:lncRNA from 1 species
ACUAACAUCUUUUUAUUUUAGCUUCCCCUGGUUUUGACUUGAUAUCAAGGUGGACAGCAGAGAGACUUGAUGCUGUUGUUGUAUCACCCAAGGGAGAGGGAAGAAUAAAGAGAAAGGAAAAGAAAAGGAGAAGUGGACUAAAAAGGGGCAAAAAUUGUUUAUGCCAUACUCGUGCACAAAUUGACAAAAUGAAAGCUGUUAAUCUGUGUGACUGCUAUUGAAUAAAAAGAAGGAA